UACAGAGGUCCCAAGCGUUGUUCGGAUUCACUGGGCGUAAAGGGUGCGUAGGUGGUAGGGUAAGUUUGAUGUGAAAUCUCCGGGCUUAACCCGGAAACUGCAUUGAAUACUAUCUUACUCGAGGUUUGGAGGGGGGACUGGAAUUCUCGGUGUAGCAGUGAAAUGCGUAGAUAUCGAGAGGAACACCAGUGGCGAAGGCGAGUCCCUGGACAACACCUGACACUGAGGCACGAAGGCCAGGGGAGCAAACGGG
rnacentral:rRNA from 1 species